UAAGGAGGGUGCGAGAGUUAAUCGGAAUUACUGGGCGUAAAGCGUGCGCAGGCGGUCUUUUAAGCCAGAUGUGAAAUCCCCGGGCUUAACCUGGGAACUGCGUUUGGAACUGGAAGGCUAGAGUACGGCAGAGGGGGGUGGAAUUCCACGUGUAGCAGUGAAAUGCGUAGAGAUGUGGAGGAACACCGAUGGCGAAGGCAGCCCCCUGGGCCUGUACUGACGCUCAUGCGCGAAAGCGUGGGGAGCAAACAGG
rnacentral:rRNA from 1 species